rnacentral:lncRNA from 1 species
UGUUACCCGUCACAGCCAAAGAUUGGUUCUUUUUGCCGUGAACGAAUCCUCAUCCUCUUUCUCUCUCACUCUAACAACCACUGAAGCCUCUCUCUCUCUCUCUCGGGUACGUAUCUUCAUUCUAUUCUUCUUUCUUAAUCCAAUUAAACUUUGUUUCUUAUUUCCCAAUUCAAUUUCGCCCCUUUUACGUUUUUUUUUUUCAAUUUCGGUUCAAAUUUAUUUAUUUGUUAUCAAGAUUUUAUCUUUAUCAUUUAUCAAUUGUUUUCUGGACAUUGAUUCAUGUAAUUUAUUGAAGGGUUGAAGAUGAGAAUUUGUGGAGCAGGUAUGAGGUUCAUAUUGGAUUUCAUUUUAUUUCUCUUUCAUCUUUCUACACUAUUUUAUUAACAAUUUUCAGUAUCAUGUGAGUUUGUUUUUAGUUUUUUUUAGUGUCUAAGUGAAAGUGAUGCUGUUUCAAUUGCUAAAAUAAAAUAUCAAUUUAUUAGUACAAUCUUUGAGACAAUUUUGAUAUCAAUUAUAUAUUAUUUUUUUAUCAAAAAAAAUUGUAGCAUCAUGAAGCUUUAAAUUAAUGUUUAAUGAUAGUUGCUAUGGUCUGUGAUUUUGCAACUCAUAGUCUAUUUUUAGGAGGGUAUAAAAUUCCUGUAUGAAGUCUAGAACAUAAACAAUGAAACUUCAAGUUAUUUUUGUACUUGGUCAUCUAGGUAAGAUUUGUUACUCAAAGUUUGCUUUUUUAUCAUUCUUCUUGUAUAGAAUUUGAGCUCUCACUUGAUAGUUGAUAUGCAUGUGUAUUAUAUGUGACUUGUUGUUAUUCGUGUUAGACCGCAUGCAGUAUCGGGUUUUCUCUCCGGAGGUUUAAUUCUUUUACGGCCUGUUUGCAAGUUGGUUUUUUUGAGGGUUUUGGAGGGGCGGACUUUGUAGCGCUAAAUUUUAAUGUGUUUGAUACUUUAAAGUAGUUAUAAAAAAACAAUAUGAUAUUAUAUGCUAAUGUAUCAUGUUGUUAUUUAUUUUUGUAUAAAUUUCGAAUAUAUAUUAAAAUAUAUACGCAACCCUCCAACUUCCCCUACAAACUCCUUCCAAAACCAACUCGCAAACAGACCCUUAAGAGUUUGAAAUGAUCCUUGAUUAAUGUUUAGCAAAAUUGCUCUAUCAAUAAAUAAGUGCCAUAUACUUAUCACAAUUGGCUCCUAAGCCCUUUCUAGGUUUGUAAGUUCUUUUAAAUGCAACACCCUAUUGUUUCUUGAUAGCAUAAAACUCUCUUACACUGAUAGUAGGUUCAUAUUGAACGUGUAUUUUUAAUCUGUCUGUUAUUUGCUCAUAGUUUAUCAGCCUCUGUGUUUUUUAACGGCAUUUUGAAAAUGGAUCUUAUGUUUUUGAAGGGUAUAUUGAAAUUGAUUAUAGUUUCUAGAUAAGGAUUCUGAUGUUACUCAAACUCUUACCAGCAACCAGCAGCACCUAUAGCACUGCGUCUAAUUCCCUGCAAGUGUUUGUUUCUUCUUCCUUCUCUACUCCAGCCAAAACCAAGUUCCUACCCUCACUUUCUAGAUUUUCUGUCAAGCGUUCUUGCUUCUCUUCACAGACCCGACCCUAUUCUACUGUGACCAAGCCCUCCAUGAACCUUCUGAACAAACUUGGAUUUGGCAGUGGAAGGUCAUCAGAGAAUCUGGAUCCAGCCAUUCCUCAGGGACCAGAUGAAGAUAUACCAGCACCAGGCCUGCAGUUUGCUCAAUUUGGUGCUGGCUGCUUUUGGGGUGUUGAAUUGGUCUUCCAGAGGGUGCCGGGAGUGAGUAAGACAGAGGUUGGUUACACCCAGGGGCUUGUGCAUAAUCCCGCGUAUGAAGAUGUGUGUGCAGGGACCACAAACCACUCAGAGGUUGUAAGGG